rnacentral:rRNA from 1 species
CUACGGAAGGCAGCAGUGGGGAAUAUUGGGCAAUGGUCGGAAGACUGACCCGGCCAUGCCGCGUGCAGGAUGAAGGCGCUAUGCGUUGUAAACUGCUUUUGUUAGGGAAGAAAAUGGCUAUGCGUAGCAACUUGACGGUACCUAAAGAAUAAGCAUCGGCUAACUCCGUGCCAGCAGCCGCGGUAAUACGGAGGAUGCAAGCGUUGUCCGGAUUUAUUGGGUUUAAAGGGUGCGUAGGCGGUCUUAUAAGUCAGUGGUGAAAGCCUGCAGCUCAACUGUAGAACUGCCAUUGAUACUGCUAGUCUUGAAUAUAGUUGAGGUAGGCGGAAUAUGACAUGUAGCGGUGAAAUGCUUAGAUAUGUCAUAGAACACCGAUUGCGAAGGCAGCUUGCUAAACUAUUAUUGACGCUGAGGCACGAAAGCGUGGGUAGCAAACAGGAUUAGAUACCCUUGUAGUCCU